ACCACUAUGGGCAACUUCCUGUCUAUUCUACCUGGUGUCACUGUGGACAACUUCCUAUCUAUUCCACCCGAUUCACCGCUUGGCUACAUCCUCCACCAUUGGGAUGAAUUUGACCCUAACAAUCUAAAGAAAAAGCUAGGAAGCUAUUCUGAGGAUUCCGGGAAGUUUGCAGAUGGGUUCCAAACUUUGACCUUAGCCUUUGAUCUCUCAUGGAGAGACGUUCAAUUCACUCUAGCAACCUGUUGCACCUCCUCGGAAAAGGAACGAAUCUUUGAGGCUGCCCUCCGAGAAGUGGACGAAUUAUUCACCCAAAACCGUAAAGGCAGUCACCCAGGCCCAGCCACAGUUCCCACUACGCAUCCUAAUUGAGACCAAGACACCCCCGCAGGAAGGAACAACUGGGCUACACACCAGACAUUAGACGUAAGCUCCAAAAGCUACACAUGGGGCCACAAACUAACCAAAAUCAGCUUCUUGGUACUGCCUUCAUGGUGUAUAACAAUCGUGACCUGGAGGAAGGAGAAGGGAAACAGAGUAAAGAAAAACGGCAAGCCAAAAUUAUGUUAGCCAUCACUGGUGAUGCCCUAAAUGCACAAAGAUUGUCCAAGGGAAACUCAAAGGGCCAUAAGGAUAAUGCCAGCAAAGGCUCUUGCUUCAAAUGCAAUAAAAGUGCGAUUGGGCACAGGAAUCCACUAAGCCCCCGCCAGUCCCCUGCCGUCAAUGUAAAAGCACCAGUUGUGGCUCCUGGAACAUUGUAAUUACUACUGAGGAACCCUGGGUAACUCUGGACUCCUUUGGUUUGUCAAUUUGAGAAACAAAUCUUCCAACAGGAAUUUUUAGUAGUACCAAGCUGCCCAAUUCCCCUGUGGGAAAGAGAUAUUAUGGUGAAAAUAGUGACACUACUGCAAUUUAAGCAAUAUUAGCAGGUGAAACUGCUAAUAGUAAGAAAUAAGGCAAUGUCCCAGACCAUGUCAAUAAACAGGUUAACCCACUGGCAUGGUAUACUGGAAACCCAGGGAAGGCUAAAACAGCAGUGCCAGUCAAAAUACAGCUUAAAGACCCCAGCCAUUUUCCCAAUGGAAAACAAUACCCAGUUGAACAGGAAGCAAGCAAAGGUCUAGCUCCCAUAGUUGAGAUAUUACUUACCCAUGGACUCUUAAAACCCUGCAAUUCUCCCUGCAAUACCCCCAUCUUACCUGUUCUCAAGCCUGGAUGCAAAAUGGUUCUCAGUCCUAGACCUUUCUUCUCCAUUCCUCUGGCCCCGAGCCCCCCAGUACCUUUUUGCUUUCGAAUGGGAAAAUCCUAAUACCAGAUAAAAACAAUACACUGCCCCUAUAUGAAGCAACAAGGGGGCCUGAAAAUGAGCUAAUGGAAUGGACCCCGGAAAUGAGGAAAGCCUUUGCCAAGUUAAAACAGGUUCUCACCCAGGCUCCUGCUCUUGGUAUCCCAGACCUAAUUAAGGCCUUCUCCUUGUAUGUAGCAGAGAAGAGGGGCAUAAGGGCAACCACUGGAAGUUCUAACGCUCCAUCAGGUAAAGUUAGUCUUAGAAAUAAAGGGACACAUCUGGAUGACAGGGGAAAUGUUAACUAAAUACCAGCCCAUGCUCCUAGACAAUCCAGAUAUAACUCUUAAAACCUGCAACACUUUAAAUCCAGCUUCAUUGCUGCCCACAGGCCCAAUAAUUGAUCAUUCCUGUGAGCAGGUCAUUGCACAUACAUAUGUUAGCCAGCCUGAUUUAAAAGAUGAGGCUCUCCCAGAUUCUGAAGCUGACCGGCUCACAGACGGCAGUAGUUCUUUGUCGAAUGGGGAAAGCAUUAAUGUUGGGACAAGGGAAAAAACUUAACAUCUAUACAGAUUCUAAAUAUGCAUUCCUUGUGGUUCAUGCUCAUACCGCCAUCAGGAAAGAAAGGGGAUUACUUACUAGCAAGCACUCCCCUAUAGAGCAUGGACCUGAAAUUCUGCAGCUAUUGAAGGCAAUACACCUGCCAAAGGCCAUAGCUAUCAUUCAUUGUAGGGGGCAUCAAAGGGACUUAACCCCUAUAGCACAAGGGAAUGGAAAGGCUGACGGAAGCCAAAGCAAAAGCCCUCAGCGUGCAAUCCCAACAGAUCCUAGCACUGCUUCCUUUCUACAAUUCCCCAGUAGAACCCAAAUACACACCACAGGAAGAACAGCUAAUAAAAAAAGCAAGGGAGACAAAAACAAGGAUCCUGGUGGCAUAUGGAGCCAAAAAUAUAUCUCCCUCAGGCAGCCCAGUGGAGAGUUAUAAAAGCCCUGCAUGACUCUUUCCAUGUGGGGAGGGAUGCGGCUCUGGCCAUGGUAAACAAGUUCUUUACUGGGUUUAACUCAGCUUCAAUGGCUAAGCAGGUCUGUCAAGCCUGCUCACUGUGUGCAUUUAACAAUCCAGGCAUCAAAAUGCCCCCUCUAAUAAAACCAGUCCAAAGGAGGGGAACUUAUCCAGGGGAAGACUGGCAGUUAGACGUCAUCCAUAUGUUAAAAGAAAUAAUUCCCCAGUUUGGGUUACCUCAGGGUCUCCAAAGUGAUAAUGGCUAAUCCUUUAUCUCCCAAAUAACUCAAGGGGUUGCUAAGGCUCUUGGAAUAAAAUACUAUUUACAUUCAGCCUGGAGGCCCCAAUCCUCUGGAAAAGUGGAAAGGGUUAACCAAACUCUAAAAUAAGCACUAGCUAAACUAUGUCAGGAAACAUCAGAAACUUGGGUUAGCUUAUUGCUCACAGCCCUUUUAAGAAUUUGUAAUACCCCUAGCUCAAAAAUUAACAGAAGCCCAUAUAAAAUGUUAUACAGAAGGCCAUUCUUAACUAAUGAUUUAAUUAUUGACCCAGAAAGAGUUGGUGUAAUUAAAUACCUAGUCAACCCAGAACAAUUCCAGCGGGUUUACAAGAGUUUGGAAUUCAAAGGCUCCUCACACUUGGAACUAACCAGCAACCCAAAAUCAGGCCAGGAGAUAGGGUACUUGUUAAAACAUGGAAUGAGGGAUCACCUGCCCAACAAUUACAACCCCAAUAGAAGGGACUUUUUUCAGUAAUACUGGCCACGUCUUCUGUGGUCAAAGUACUAGUAUUAGAUAGCUGGAUACAUCUUUCAAGGAUCAAACCAUCAAUACCAGAAGCUCCAGACCAGGAACCUGAAGUUCCCAUCAGCCAGUACACCUGUGAACCAGUGGAGGACCUGAAGUACCUGUUUAAAAGAUAGCCAAAAGAUAAGUAAAUGCCUACCAACUUUCUUUGGUGUCUUUGUUGCAUAGUUACUGUGGGCUGGAAAAUAGUAGCCAUUUUUAUCUUUGCAGUUUAAUUGCCUUCUUCCAAAUAGAUAAAAAUCACUUCCUUUGUAAUAAUUAAACAGAAUUUAAAAAAUACAUUUCUAUGACAAAUAUUCCUGAUGGCAUAAGUAUCCACCCCAAGGUUCCCAUUAAAUCUUUUAACCUAAAGUAUUUCCUCUCACCUAGAGAUCAUCGAGCUGUGUGACAAGGGUGCCAGCCACUCCAGGUGAAGACACCACCCCAGGCCAUCAAGGAUCUUCCCUACCUUCACUAAACAGAGCAGGGUGAAAGUUGUGUGAUCCCCAAUAGGUAGGGACUACACCCCAAGUCAGCAGGAAGCAGUUACAGAAGAAAGACCAUUGGUCCCUCUGCUUCCCAUAAAGAUUUAUGGGGAUCACAGCUUUCACGGGGGAGAUGAGGCAAGAGAAUAGGGCAUGCAGGCAGGGUACUUGAGGCCAAUCCACGCUGACUUCCUAGAACUGAAUUAAAUGAAAGCUCCUCAGCAAUGACAGGAAUGUGAAUGGCUUUGUAACUUCUUCCUCUCCAUUAAUGCUAUUUCCACUUUGUAACUUCACUUUCAUCCUCUCCAUUUACAUAGAUCACACACCAAGUAACAUCCUCUCCAUUUACAGUAGGGCGCAUUCCGAGUCAAUGACUCUGACUGCACUUCGUUCUCCUCAUUUACAUAGAACAUUCGCCA
rnacentral:lncRNA from 1 species